CGAGCUUCACUACGGUGUUAUGGUUAGGGUUUUAGUGUCAGGGUUAGGGUUACGGUUAGGGACGGAAUUCCCUAACCCAAACCCUAACCCUAAACCCUUCAAAAUAAAUCGCGCUCUCUGUAUGUCUUUGGCUUUAAUGACGUCCUUUCCCUCCAACACUUUUUACGAAAAAAAACGAUAUUUAGUACUCGUACCGUAAGUUCGCCGGCAUUUGUAGAAAAUUUCAUGAGAAAAUAUCCUUUUAUCUAAAAGUUAUGAUGAAACAAAGUAUAAGGGUCACACAUGGACUUCCAAAAAAAAGGAGGAGUUUGGGUGAAGAAUUAUUAACAGUGGUUAUUGCUUGGAAUGUGGCACAGUUGAACACAAAAGACUUGGUUUUUGAAAAUUUGGACAUUGCCAAGAUGCAUUGUAGAUAUAAUCGAACCGUGGCAAUGGGUGUGUACGAAUUGCUUUUGUGGAACUUUUUUUGCUCCUGGACUCUAACCUACAAUAGUUUUAAGAAUUGAACUUUUUAGACGUACUCUUGUGUGAGUCAGAAUGCCCCUCCGAUGCCUUGGGUUUCUUGCUAGCAGAGCAGAGCAGAGCAGAGCAGAGCAGAGCAGAGCAGAGCAGAGCAGAGCAGAGCGGAUCUGUCAACUAUCAACAGUCGUUUAGUCAGUGAUAGAUUUGACUGUAUGCCACGAUAUAGACGUGUGCUAUUCUGUUGGUAAUUUCACAUAGUAAUCUUAGUCUACAUCCCUUAUAUUUUCCUCUACUCAUAUAUUACAUAGACCGAACGGGUAUCGGCAAAAUGGCUGUUCUAGCAAGAAAUAAAAAUCCAACAUGGA